UGAGGAAUAUUGGACAAUGGGCGCAAGCCUGAUCCAGCCAUGCCGCGUGCAGGAUGACGGUCCUAUGGAUUGUAAACUGCUUUUGUACAGGAAGAAACAGUUCUACGUGUAGAACCUUGACGGUACUGUAAGAAUAAGGAUCGGCUAACUCCGUGCCAGCAGCCGCGGUAAUACGGAGGAUCCAAGCGUUAUCCGGAAUCAUUGGGUUUAAAGGGUCCGUAGGCGGUUAGAUAAGUCAGUGGUGAAAGCCCAUCGCUCAACGGUGGAACGGCCAUUGAUACUGUCUGACUUGAAUUAUUAGGAAGUAACUAGAAUAUGUAGUGUGGCGGUGAAAUGCUUAGAGAUUACAUGGAAUACCAAUUGCGAAGGCAGGUUACUACUAAUGGAUUGACGCUGAUGGACGAAAGCGUGGGUAGCGAACAGGAUUAGAUACCCAAGUAGUCCCUGAGCGGGCUGGCAAGGCGCAU
rnacentral:rRNA from 1 species